UACGUAGGGUGCGAGCGUUAAUCGGAAUUACUGGGCGUAAAGCGUGCGCAGGCGGUUUUGUAAGCCAGAUGUGAAAUCCCCCGGGCUUAACCUGGGAAUGGCAUUUGGGACUGGCAAGGCUUGAGUGCGGCAGAGGAGACUGGAAUUCCUGGUGUAGCAGUGAAAUGCGUAGAUAUCAGGAGGAACACCGGGUGGCGAAGGGCGG
rnacentral:rRNA from 1 species